rnacentral:rRNA from 1 species
UACGUAGGGCGCAAGCGUUGUCCGGAAUUAUUGGGCGUAAAGAGCGCGUAGGCGGUCCGAUAAGUCGGCUGUGAAAGUCAGGGGCUCAACCCUUGGAAGCCGGCCGAUACUGUCGGACUAGAGUCCGGAAGAGGCGAGUGGAAUUCCCGGUGUAGCGGUGAAAUGCGCAGAUAUCGGGAGGAACACCAAUGGCGAAGGCAGCUCGCUGGGACGGUACUGACGCUGAGGCGCGAAAGCGUGGGGAGCAAACAGG